GUUCAGUACAAUCCACGAUUUCAGGCACCCUCCAGGGGUCUUGGAAUGUAUCCCUCAUGAACAAGCGCCAUCGCCCGUUGUAAUUGAUGUGUUCAUCAAGUCUGAUGGGAACCCUGCUAAUUUCUCACAAGAAACUGGAUCAGCUGCAGUUAUUUCUGCCAAUACCCCAGUUGGAUGUUUCCAUUUAGAUGCCAGCUGUACACUUCUCUUCACAGCCCAUGCUGAGGACUGAUGCCAUCAGAAGCCCAUACUGUGAGUGCUGGUGACCCAAGAUGGCACUGUCUGCCCAGCAGGUAGGAGCACGCAGCCCCACCAGCCUCUGCAGGUGAGCUCGGCCUGCAUCCGAGCUCAAAGCACACCAGGAGAUCUGACCAAGUAGCCAACAUUUCUAAAACAAAUUGCUUUUCCGGAGCCAUGAAAUUAGCUUCUGGAGUAAAAUAUUAAACCCC
rnacentral:lncRNA from 1 species